GAUGAACGCUGGCGGCGUGCCUAAUACAUGCAAGUCGAGCGAACAGACGAGGAGCUUGCUCCUCUGACGUUAGCGGCGGACGGGUGAGUAACACGUGGAUAACCUACCUAUAAGACUGGGAUAACUUCGGGAAACCGGCGCUAAUACCGGAUAAUAUAUUGAACCGCAUGGUUCAAUAGUGAAAGACGGUUUUGCUGUCACUUAUAGAUGGAUCCGCGCUGCAUUAGCUAGUUGGUAAGGUAACGGCUUACCAAGGCGACGAUGCGUAGCCGACCUGAGAGGGUGAUCGGCCACACUGGAACUGAGACACGGUCCAGACUCCUACGGGAGGCAGCAGUAGGGAAUCUUCCGCAAUGGGCGAAAGCCUGACGGAGCAACGGCGCGUGAGUGAUGAAGGUCUUCGGAUCGUAAAGCUCUGUUAUUAGGGAAGAACAAAUGUGUAAGUAACUAUGCACGUCUUGACGGUACCUAAUCAGAAAGCCACGGCUAACUACGUG
rnacentral:rRNA from 1 species